ACCUGUAUGCUUUAUCAGUAUCUUCACACUUCUUGAUUAAGAGCACAUCCAACCUAUAUGGCACACAACAACCUACGUUUGAUAAACAUCAUCAUUCUUUAAUGACAUAUCAUUUAGUCACGGACAUAUUUAAAAACUAUUCGAUAAAUUCUCCUUUAUCGAUUGUCAUAUAGUUCUAAAAACUUUAUCACAACAUUAAAGUUCAAUCAAAGAAGAUGUACACCUUGUGAUGAAAAAUAAUAAAUAAU
rnacentral:lncRNA from 1 species